GAUUUGUUUGUUCAUUUUUGCCAUCGCUAGUGUGGAGGGGGGCAUCUCCUCCUCCUCAGUGACCUCACCCGGUCAUUCCUGAUGAUUAUCAUUGUCUUGUAGCUCAGUAUUUUCCUUAUUUUGGUGCUUAUUCAUCUCAUGUGCUCCCUCAGGUUCUGACUCUGUGUUGGUCACCUGUGUUUCAGAUUCAAGGUUUUCUGGUGGGUCAGCAUGCACAGUGUCUCUCCCUCCACUAAAUACACCAGUUGGUCUCAUAUGUGUUGUGGGCUCAAGGAAGAAUCCAUAUUCCUCUUGUUCAUCCUUUUCCUCUCAGUCUGUGCCUGUGUUGCAGAUUAGGUUUUCUCCUUUCUUCCGGCCCACUAAAUUGUCACCAGGCUGGAUUCAAUGAAUCAACUGUGCUCUGAUUACUGGGUGGUGUGUUCAGCGCGGUAUCUAGGCAGGUGACUGUUCUUCGGAUGGACGUUUCUGCCUCUUUCUGGAGUCUGAUUUCCGUGAGGCUAGUGUGUGCACAGUUUGGCAUGCUAGCGUGUCUGCCAUGUUUCCUUGCGAUCUUGUCGCUCAGCAAUUUGUGGUCUGCUCAUCUUCUGGCUGGAGACCCAGAGUAAAGUUGCUCUGCUUCGAGCCCUUGCUUAACGCACUUUCCUUUAUGUGUUAAGUGAUUGAGCUGAGGCUUUGCUGCUCUCCCCCUCCCGCAGCUAGGAAGGUGCACCUUCACUCUCUUUGGUAUGACCAAACAUGAGAUCAACUGGUAGCUGUGGAGACCUCCCAAACAUAAGUGUCUUGAACAUUUGGAAGAGUGUACGAUUGAAAUGUUCCACCUGCCCAUUUCCCAGGGUAUUGUCCUUAAUCCUAAUACAGUGG